UCUGAGUUGAGUAGGAUGCUCUUGUG
rnacentral:piRNA from 1 species